CCAAACUUGGUCAUUAGAGGAAGUAAAAGUCGUAACAAGGUUUCCGUAGGUGAACCUGCGGAAGGAUCAUUAUUGAAUACCGUACCUCGAUAGGUUGUGGCUGGCCUCUUGAGGCAUGUGCACGCCCGUCUUGACUCUAUUCAUCCACCUGUGCACCUAAUGUAGUUUCUGACGCUCUCUGUAUUCAGUUGCAACAUACUGGAUUUGAGAAUUGCCUUUUUUGGGGCUUUUCUCUAGUUGGCCUUGUGCUAUCUGAGAGAACAAGGAGCUAUGUAUCUUAUCACAAACCACAUAGUAUGUUAUCAGAAUGUAUUCAAUGGGCCUCUGUGCCUAUAUAAAUCUAUACAACUUUCAGCAACGGAUCUCUUGGCUCUCGCAUCGAUGAAGAACGCAGC
rnacentral:misc_RNA from 1 species